CCUCCUGACCACCUCCCUUCGAUGUUCUGUGACCAUGGGAAAUCAGACACUUGUUAGUUGUGCCAACAAUGAUGAUGAUGCUCUAGAAGUGCCUCGGCUCAUCACCCUCCCUGCCCAGGAUUUGGAGAAAGUAACUCUCUAGCCCCUUUCCCCAUCCCAGAGGGACUGUGCCUCUUCGCUUCUUCCAAGUCUUAGGAGAUAUUUUACAGGCAAGAAAAUGAAGGUUUGGCUAAAGGCAAGCACCGGCUGGGUGGCUGUCACUGGAGGGACUCUCUGGCUCUCAAGAAAUACUCCUCCUUUUCAGGGAGAAAUAACCAGUCUAAGGGGCCAGUUUCAGCAAUGCCCACUGGCAGCCUCUGAGAAUCAAAAGGACGGCAGGCGGCUGGCUAUUUGAUGACAUUAAGGAAUUACUGUUCAUGUUUUUUGGUAUGACAAUAAAA